UGGGGAAUUUUGGACAAUGGGCGAAAGCCUGAUCCAGCAAUGCCGCGUGUGUGAAGAAGGCCUUCGGGUUGUAAAGCACUUUUGUCCGGAAAGAAAUCCUUGGCUCUAAUACAGUCGGGGGAUGACGGUACCGGAAGAAUAAGCACCGGCUAACUACGUGCCAGCAGCCGCGGUAAUACGUAGGGUGCAAGCGUUAAUCGGAAUUACUGGGCGUAAAGCGUGCGCAGGCGGUUUGCUAAGACCGAUGUGAAAUCCCCGGGCUCAACCUGGGAACUGCAUUGGUGACUGGCAGGCUAGAGUAUGGCAGGAGGGGGGUAGAAUUCCACGUGUAGCAGUGAAAUGCGUAGAGAUGUGGAGGAAUACCGAUGGCGAAGGCAGCCCCCUGGGCCAAUACUGACGCUCAUGCACGAAAGCGUGGGGAGCAAACAGGAUUAGAUACCCUGGUAGUCCACGCCCUAAAACGAUGUCAACUAGUUGUUGGGGAUUCAUUUCCUUAGUAACGUAGCUAACGCGUGAAGUUGACCGCCUGGGGAGUACGGUCGCAAGAUUAAAACUUAAAUGAAUUGACGGGGUCAUAGCUGUUUCCU
rnacentral:rRNA from 1 species